CGCACCCGGAAGUGCUGUCUGAUAGGUCUGCGUCGUUAGUACGUGUAUAUAAACUAAACCUACUUUGAGGUUAGUGUAUCCGGGCAUUCAAACAGGGAGGGAG